rnacentral:rRNA from 1 species
AACGAACGCUGGCGGCGCGUCUUAAGCAUGCAAGUCGAACGGCAAGAGAGGAGCUUGCUUCUCUCCUAGAGUGGCGGACUGGUGAGGAACACGUGGGUAAUCUACCCUUAAGAUGGGGAUAGCUGCUAGAAAUAGCAGGUAAUACCGAAUACACUCGGCAUAUCACAAGAGGUGUUGAGGAAAGGAAGCUACGGCUUCGCUUGAGGAUGAGCUUGCGUCCCAUUAGCUAGUUGGUGAGGUAAAGGCCCACCAAGGCGACGAUGGGUAUCCGGCCUGAGAGGGUGAACGGACACCUUGGGACUGAGAUACGGCCCAAACUCCUACGGGAGGCAGCAGCUAAGAAUAUUCCGCAAUGGACGGAAGUCUGACGGAGCGACGCCGCGUGGAUGAAGAAGGCUGAAAAGUUGUAAAAUCCUUUUGUUGAUGAAGAAUAAGGGUGAGAGGGAAUGCUCAUCUGAUGACGGUAAUCGACGAAUAAGCCCCGGCUAAUUACGUG